rnacentral:rRNA from 1 species
UACGAAGGGGGGCGAGCGUUGUUCGGAUUUACUGGGCGUAAAGGGCGCGCAGGCGGCUCAUUUUGUCAGGCGUGAAAGCCCCGGGGCUUAACCUGGGAGGUGCGUUUGAUACGGAUGGGGCUGGAGUUCGGGAGAGGAGAGCGGAAUUCCCAGUGUAGAGGUGAAAUUCGUAGAUAUUGGGAAGAACACCAGUGGCGAAGGCGAGUCCCUGGACGAUACCUGACACUGAGGCACGAAAGCCAAGGGAGCAAACAGG